rnacentral:rRNA from 1 species
CCCUUAGAUGUUCUGGGCCGCACGCGUGCUACACUGAGUGGAUCAGCGGGUCAGGUUGCGCGAAAGUGUUUCCUAAUCUUUAAAUCCGCUCGUGAUGGGGAUUGACGGUUGCAAUUUUCCGUCAUGAACGAGGAAUACCUUGUAAGCGCGGGUCAUCAUCCCGCGCUGAUUACGUCCCUGCCCUUUGUACACACCGCCCGUCGCACCUACCGAUUGAACGGUCCGGUGAAAUCUUGGGAUUUGCUUUGCUUUCGUUUAUUCGAUGCUCGGCGAAGAACUUGAGUAAACCUUACCGUUUAGAGGAAGGAGAAGUCGUAACA